AAGAGAUCUGAAUCAUUACAUUAAAAAAACUAUUUUGUAACUAUAUCAAGCUUACAGAAAAGUUGCAAGUAUAUACAAAGAACUGUUUUUUCCUGAACCAUUUGAAAGCAAGUUGCUGAUAUUAUUAUGAUGUCCCAUUAACCUAAAUAUUUUAAUGUUUAUUUCCUCAAACAGCAUACUCCUAUGUAACCACAAUAAGAUCAACUAAAUCAGAAAAUUAACAUUGUUUACAUUUCUACCAUCUAUCCCUCAGACUCCAUUCAAGUUUGGCCAAUACUCCCAGCACUGUCCUUUAUAGUAAAAGGAUUCAGUUCAGAAUCAUGCAUUGCAUUUACUCAUUAUGUCUCAUUAAUCUCCUUCAGUCUGGAAAAGUUCCUCAGUCCCUCCUUGACUUGCAGACCUUGACAGUUUUGAGGAUUACAGGUCAGUUAUUUUGUAGCACCUCUCUGAAUUUGGGUUGGUCUGAUGUUGCCUAGAUGUUAGUUUCAGGUUAUGUAUCUAUGACAGGAAUACCACAGGAAUGAUGGGAUGCUCUUCACAUUGUAUCCUAUCAGAUGACAUGAUUUCAGUUUGUCCUAUUACUGAUGUUAAUUACUUUUGAGCUCCUGAUGAAGGUAUUGUCUGCCAGGUUUCUAUACUGUAAAGUUGCUCUUUUCCCAUUGUGUGGAGGGAAGGUUCAUCAAACUUUACAUUUAUUUGAACAAAAAAAGUAUUGAUAACUUAUAAACAGCUGAAGUGCUCAGGUCCUGUGAGCUGGUCAUGGGGGUAGGAGAGGUGAGUAUCUCUAUUUUCAUAUUUCUCUAAUAGAAGAAAAGAAAAGCAAUGUUUCUGUAGCUUCUUAGAAUUCAAUACGACAAUCUCCAAUAAUUAAUAAAUACGAAUUUUGUUGUUGAUGUGGAAUUAUUUUAGAACUUUGUUUUUGUGAAUUUCAGUGAAAAUAAAACAGAUAUCUGAGGAGAAAAUGAGACAGCCUCAGAUUUAAAAAAUAAAAUUAGCUUCCCUAUUUUCAGUAAAAUAGAGACUGGGAGCAGGGAAAUCUUUUCAUCUCAGUCCAUCAUGGCAGCAGAAAAUCAGGGCUUGUUAAUGUUGAUGUUGUACAACCUAUCUUCAAUGUUGGGAACUGACAUCUAUAGUCUGAGGACACCUAUGGACUGAUUCUCUGAUCAUCCUAGAGGAUAUGAAAGGGAUUAGGAGAUAGCACAAGCACAGUCACUGCAAUCUGUCUGAGAAACACUGGUUCUGCAUAUAUGCCUUUUUUAAAAAAAUAAAUAAAUGAUAGAAAUCAAAAAAGAAAAGAAAAAAAACCCACAAUGUUUCUGAAUGGAAAGAACUCUGAAAUUGGAAUCAGGUUGAGUACUAGGUGCAGUUCUGCCACUGUAUAAAUCCGCUAAGACUGACAUUACAAAAUACCAUAGACAGGGUGGCGUAAACAACUGAUGUCUAUUUUCUUACAAUUCUGGAAACUGAAAGUCCAAGACUGUGGUGCCAGAGUUCGUUUCUGGUGAGAUCUCUCUUCCUGGCUUGUAGACGGUGGCCUUCUCAUUCUGUCCUCACGUGGCUUUCCUCUGUGUUCUCACAGAAAGAGAGAGAUCUUUGGUGUCUUCUGCUCUUCCUAAAAGGACAGCAGUCCUAUCAGAUUAGAGGUCCAGCCUUUUGACCUCAUUUAACCUUCACUACCUCCCUAAAGGUCCUAUCUCCAAAUAUAGUCACACUGUGGGUUAGGCCUUCAACAUAUGAAUUUGUGGGGAGGCAACACAAUUUGGUCUAUAACAGCCACUAAGGAAUGACUACUGCUUUGUGCUUCCAUUUUCUCCAUCAGGGGUCCCAGCUGGAGCCUAUGCUAUAUCUCCUUAGGAUUCAAGCAUUGCUGGAGGACUGGUGGAGCAGGACUUCAGGACUCUAUUUAUAUAUAGCUCCUAGAGUAUCUUAGGAAAGAAGCCAUGCUAAGAGAGAGCUGAGUCCCCAAGCCUGGUUCAAGGAUGUGAGCCACUGUCAGAAAGGAGAAGAAAGGGUGAAAGCAUCAUGGUCUCUGUCAUUUAGAUCAGCCUCCAGCUCAGCCUCCAUGGAUUCAUGCUUCUGUCAUAAGGAAUAAUCCACUACUGAGGACCCAAUGCCCCACAAAGUGAACCUUGGCCUCCCACAGAAGAACGCUUUAAGGAGCUACCAACUCAUUUACCUUUGCUCUAGUGCAGCACCCAUAUUAUGGGUGGUAAGAGUCCUGAAUCAGUCUUUUGCCAGCGACAGAGGGGUCGACCACAACAAAUGGGCAGUUUGCACAUGAGACUUAAUGUACAACUCCUUGUUCGUUUUUCCUUGACAGUGGAAGGACAUUGGACCUGACAUACAGAAGUCUCUCAGUAAAGAUUUGCUGUUUUUGAAAUUCCAUGGACACUGACCAGAUCUGUGAAUAAGAAGGCUCUUGGAUAAGAGUGAAAAAAAUGGAUGACACCAAUGUAUCUCACAUGAAGGAAACUGUCUUUAUGAAAACUCUUUGAAAUGCCCUGCAGACACAGAUGUCAGCAGAUGCCCAGCUCAGACAAGGGGAAGCUGUUUUGCAUGAAACAAAGAGAGGAACAUGGUUUAUUGCUUGUGAAAAGGAGGGGGAAGAAAGAAGUUUUCAGGAUGGCUGAGCAGGUCUGCUGCCUCUCCAGUGAAUGAAGGGCCAGAGUCCGGGACUUCGCACAAAACUUUGAUGGGAUUUGGAAGAUUUCCUUGUGGAGGUGACAAGCACUCGAGUUGUCUUUAUAGCCCCAGUAAUAAGAUGAUGGCAUCAUCCAUAUUCCCUCUACCAAUGACUCUUCCAUGGCAACGUAGCUGAGACUGAGGCUAAAGGGCCAAAAAGGAUCACCUCCCAAAUAAACUACCUGAACCCAAGUAUUUAUCUUAGGCUCUGCUUUUUGGGAAAUCUAAACUUAGUUAGCUGAUACCAGGAGUGACCUCAGAGUGAACACCCUCAGGAUGGAUUCUGGAACUGAAUCACUCACUGAUCAGAUGGCAACAAGGACUCUGCUGUUGAUGAUAAGUUGAGCAGUGAUAACCCCUGAUAUGCUGUGCAGUCACAACGACUAAACUCUUCACCUGUGGAAGACCGGAAGUACAAGUGGAAGGAACACACCAGAUUAUGUAGUAGCUCUAGCACAGGGAUUCUCAGCCAUUUAAAAAAAUAUUGUCCCCCUAGGGAGAAAAAUUAAAUUAAUUUAAAGUAUUCUGGGUGGGAGGUGGGCAAAAGAGGUGAAGGUGAUC